rnacentral:rRNA from 1 species
UUUUGCGCAAUGCUCGUAAGAGUGACGCAGCGACGCCGCGUGAGCGAUGAAGGCCUUCGGGUCGUAAAGCUCUGUCCUCAAGGAAGAUAAUGACGGUACUUGAGGAGGAAGCCCCGGCUAACUACGUGCCAGCAGCCGCGGUAAUACGUAGGGGGCUAGCGUUAUCCGGAAUUACUGGGCGUAAAGGGUGCGUAGGUGGUUUCUUAAGUCAGAGGUGAAAGGCUACGGCUCAACCGUAGUAAGCCUUUGAAACUGGGGAACUUGAGUGCAGGAGAGGAGAGUGGAAUUCCUAGUGUAGCGGUGAAAUGCGUAGAUAUUAGGAGGAACACCAGUUGCGAAGGCGGCUCUCUGGACUGUAACUGACACUGAGGCACGAAAGCGUGGGGAGCAAACA